rnacentral:lncRNA from 1 species
AUGAAGAGAAAAACCAAGGACAGGGGACUACUGACUGCUGACUGCGUGUUGGUCUCCUUCUCAUGCUGCAAAAAUCCUCUGGUGAUCCAUCUACACUCAGCACUACAUGAUUCAGUUCAGCUGGUGUUGAAGUUGAACAACAGUUUUCAGUCCACCAUUACCACACAAAUUAGACCAUGUAGAAUUAGCAGGAACAAGAGUUGGCUUGUGCUUUUAUCACAUUCUAUAAGUCACAUUCAUUCACUAUUUCUGUUACCUCACUUAAUAUGCAAAUAGAAGAGAAUCAGCCAUGCUGGGACUUGGGGGACCAAUCAAGAAAUCAACUACCAACCUUCCUGGUAAGCUGUGCAAGCCACGCAUGCGUUCCAGGGAGAGAAAAGACAGCAACUCCCAUGAACCUACCAGAGUGGGCUGAGAAUCAAACACCAUCCAUAUCCCCAAUUCCUCUUAGCAACUGGAUAACCAAGGACAGUCUGAGUUGACAGCAACUAAGGUACGUAAAGCAACUAAAUGCUUGUAUUAUUUGGUUGAUUAUGCA